ACGGGAGGCAGCAGUGAGGAAUAUUGGUCAAUGGGCGGAAGCCUGAACCAGCCAAGUCGCGUGAAGGAUGAAGGUAUUAUGUAUUGUAAACUUCUUUAGCAGCAGAGUAAUAAGGAGGUCGUGACCCCCGAUGCAAGUAUGCUGAAAAUAAGGAUCGGCUAACUCCGUGCCAGCAGCCGCGGUAAUACGGAGGAUCCGAGCGUUAUCCGGAUUUAUUGGGUUUAAAGGGUGCGCAGGCGGCUUUUUAAGUCAGUGGUUAAAUCGUGAGGCUCAACCUCAUCACGCCAUUGAUACUGGAGAGCUUGAUUGCGGUUGAGGUUGGCGGAAUUCGUCGUGUAGCGGUGAAAUGCUUAGAUAUGACGAAGAACUCCGAUUGCGAAGGCAGCCUUCUGGAGUGCGAUUGACGCUGAGGUUCGAAAGCGCGGGUAUCAAACAGGAUUAGAUACCCUGGUA
rnacentral:rRNA from 1 species